CCCUUAGAUGUUCGGGGCCGCGCGCGCGCUACACUGAAGGAAUCAGCGUGUUUAUUCCCGAUCCGUAAGGACCAGGUAACCCGUUGAACCUCCUUCGUGCUAGGGAUUGGGGCUUGCAAUUAUUCCCCAUGAACGAGGAAUUCCCAGUAAGCGCGAGUCAUAAGCUCGCGUUGAUUACGUCCCUGCCCUUUGUACACACCGCCCGUCGCUACUACCGAUUGGAUGGUUUAGUGAGAUCCUCGGAUUGGACCCGUCUCCGGGGGCAACCCCGGGCGCGGUGUUCUAAGAAGACGAUCAAACUUGAUCAUCUAGAGGAAGUAAAAGUCGUAACA
rnacentral:rRNA from 1 species